UAAAUCCUAAAGGGGUGCUCCUGCGUGGGAGCUGAGACUUUGACUUUGCAUCGAAGGACCCUUUGAACCUGAUUCGGUUAGCACCGACGUAGGGAUUAGGAAGUCAUUUUUU
rnacentral:ncRNA from 2 species